rnacentral:rRNA from 1 species
GAUGAACGCUGGCGGCGUGCCUAAUACAUGCAAGUCGAGCGAACAGACGCGGAUCUUGUUCCUCUGACGUUUGCGGAGGACGUGUGUGUCACACGUGUAUAACCUCCCUAUAAUACUGGUAUAACUUCGGAAAACCGGAUCUAAUACCGUAUAAUCUCUUGAUCCGCAUUGUUCAUUAGUAAAAUACGGUUUUUCUGUCACUUAUAGAUGGUUCCGCGCCGCUUUGGCUAGUUGGUAAGUUCACGGCUUUCCACGGCGACGCUGCGUAGCCGACGUGAGAGGGUGAUAGGCCACAUGGGAACGUAGACACGGACAUUACUCCUACGGUAGGCAGCAGUAUGGUAUCGUCCGCAAUAGGCGAAAGCAUGGCGGAGCAAGGCCGAGUGAGUUAUGAAGGUCUUAGGAGCGUAAAACUCUGUUAUGAGGUAAGAACAAAUGUGUAAGUAACUAAGCACGUAGUGACGGUACCUAAUCAGAAAGCCACGGCUAACUACGUG